rnacentral:rRNA from 1 species
CCUACGGGUGGCAGCAGUGAGGAAUAUUGGUCAAUGGGCGGAAUUCUGAACCAGCCAAGUCGCGUGAAGGAUGACUGCCCUAUGAGUUGUAAACUUCUUUUAUAUGGGGGUAAAAUGUUCCACGUGUGGGGUUUUGUAUGUACCGUAUGAAUAAGGAUCGGCUAACUCCGUGCCAGCAGCCGCGGUAAUACGGAGGAUCCGAGCGUUAUCCGGAUUUAUUGGGUUUAAAGGGAGCGUAGGUGGAUUGUUAAGUCAGUGGUGAAAGUUUGCGGCUCAACCGUAAAAUUGCAGUUGAAACUGGCAGUCUUGAGUACAGUAGAGGUGGGCGGAAUUCGUGGUGUAGCGGUGAAAUGCUUAGAUAUCACGAAGAACUCCGAUUGCGAAGGCAGCUCACUGGACUGCAACUGACACUGAGGCUCGAAAGUGUGGGUAUCAAACAGGAUUAGAUACCCUAGUAGUC